rnacentral:rRNA from 1 species
AGAACGAACGCUGGCGGCAGGCUUAACACAUGCAAGUCGAGCGCCCCGCAAGGGGAGCGGCAGACGGGUGAGUAACGCGUGGGAACAUACCUUCCGGUUCGGAAUAGCUCAGGGAAACUUGGAUUAAUACCGGAUAUGACCUUUGAGGGCAUCCUCGAAGGUGUAAAGGAUUCUGGCUAGGGAUGGGCCCGCGGCCUAUCAGCUUGUUGGUGGGGUAAUGGCCUACCAAGGCGACGACGGGUAG